AUUGAAGGGUUUGAUCCUGGCUCAGAAUGAACGUUGGCGGCGUGGAUUAGGCAUGCAAGUCGAGCGAGAAGCUUCCCUUCGGGGAGGUGGAAAGCGGCGCAAGGGAGAGUAACGCGUAGAUACCUACCCCCAGGUUCGGUAUAGCGGCACCUGCUUGCAGGUUUCCGAAAGGGCCGGUAAUACCGGAUAAUGUCUCCGGACCAAAGAUUUAUCGCCCGGGGAUGGGUCUGCGUCCUACUAGCUUGUUGGUGGGGUAAAAGCCUACCAAGGCCAAGAUGGGUACCGGGUGUGAGAGCAUGACCCGGCUCACUGGGACUGAGACACUGCCCAGACACCUACGGGUGGCUGCAGUCGAGAAUCUUCCGCAAUGGGCGAAAGCCUGACGGAGCGACGCCGCGUGCGGGAUGAAGGCCUUCGGGUUGUAAACCGCUGUCAGUGGGGAGGAAAUCACUUCGGUGUUGACCGAUCCGCAGAGGAAGCGCAGGCUAAGUUCGUGCCAGCAGCCGCGGUAACACGAACUGCGCGAACGUUAUUCGGAAUCACUGGGCUUAAAGAGUUCGUAGGCGGCCAAGUCAGUCGGGUGUGAAAUCCCUCGGCUCAACCGAGGAACUGCGCCCGAUACUGCUUGGCUUGAGGAAGUCAGAGGUGAGCGGAACUGAUGGUGGAGCGGUGAAAUGCGUUGAUAUCAUCAGGAACACCGGUG
rnacentral:rRNA from 1 species